UGCGUAGGCGGAUUAAUAAGUCAGUGGUGAAAACCUGCAGCUUAACUGUAGGCUUGCCAUUGAUACUGUUAGUCUUGAGUACGGUCAAGGUAGGCGGAAUGUGUAAUGUAGCGGUGAAAUGCCUAGAUAUUACACAGAACACCGAUUGCGAAGGCAGCUUACUGGACCAUUACUGACGCUGAGGCACGAAAGCGUGGGGAGCGAACAGGAUUAGAUACCCUGGUAGUCC
rnacentral:rRNA from 1 species